GGCUCAGGACGAACGCUGGCGGCGCGCCUAAUACAUGCAAGUCGAGCGAGAAGGUGUAGCAAUACACUUGUAAAGCGGCGAACGGGUGAGGAAUACAUGGGUAAUCUACCAUCGAGUGGGGAAUAACCAGCCGAAAGGUUGGCUAAUACCGCGUACGCCUCCGGAUCUUCGGGUUCGGAGGGAAAGCUGCACUGUGAGUGCGGCGCUCUUUGAUGAGCUCAUGUCCUAUCAGCUUGUUGGUAGGGUAACGGCCUACCAAGGCUUUGACGGGUAGCUGGUCUGAGAGGACGAUCAGCCACACUGGCACUGCGACACGGGCCAGACUCCUACGGGAGGCAGCAGUAAGGAAUAUUGCGCAAUGGGCGACAGCCUGACGCAGCGACGCCGCGUGGGGGAUGAAGGUCUUCGGAUUGUAAACCCCUUUCGGCAGGGAAGAUGGAACGGGUAACCGUUCGGACGGUACCUGCAGAAGCAGCCACGGCUAACUUCGUGCCAGCAGCCGCGGUAAUACGAAGGUGGCAAGCGUUGUUCGGAUUUACUGGGCGUACAGGGAGCGUAGGCGGUUAGGUAAGCCCUUCGUGAAAUCUCCGGGCCUAACCCGGAAAGGGCGGAGGGGACUGCUUGGCUAGAGGAUGGGAGAGGAGCGCGGAAUUCCCGGUGUAGCGGUGAAAUGCGUAGAGA
rnacentral:rRNA from 1 species